UCUAAGUAUGACAUCAUAAACUAGCAUCAUGAGAUAUAACUAAUUGAAGCUAAGCAGGGCUGAGCCUAGACAGUACCUGGAUGGGAGACCACAUGGGAAAAUUAGGUUGCUGUUAGAA
ensembl:rRNA 5S_rRNA 5S ribosomal RNA